rnacentral:rRNA from 1 species
CGUACGGGUGAGUAACACGUAUGUAAUCUGCCCCUAACUGGGGGAUAGCCCUUCGAAAGGAGGAUUAAUACCCCAUAACAUAAUGAAAUGGCAUCAUUUUAUUAUUAAAACCCCGGUGGUUAGGGAUGAGCAUGCGUCCUAUUAGCUAGUUGGUAAGGUAACGGCUUACCAAGGCAACGAUAGGUAGCUGGUCUGAGAGGAUGGCCAGCCACAUUGGGACUGAGAGACGGCCCAG